rnacentral:rRNA from 1 species
UACGAAGGGGGCUAGCGUUGCUCGGAAUCACUGGGCGUAAAGGGUGCGUAGGCGGCGCGGUAAGUCGGGUGUGAAAUCUCGGGGCUUAACUCCGAAACUGCAUUCUAUACUGCCGUGCUUGAGGACUGGAGAGGAGACUGGAAUUUACGGUGUAGCGGUGAAAUGCGUAGAUAUCGUAAGGAAGACCAGUGGCGAAGGCGGGUCUCUGGACAGUUCCUGACGCUGAGGCACGAAGGCCAGGGGAGCAAACGGG